UACGGAGGGUGCAAGCGUUAUCCGGAUUUACUGGUUUAAAGGGUGCGCAGGCGGAUAUGUAAGUCAGUGGUGAAAUCUUUUGGGCUUAACCCGAAAAUUGCCAUUGAUACUAUAUAUCUUGAAUGCUGUGGAGGUAAGCGGAAUAUGUCAUGUAGCGGUGAAAUGCUUAGAGAUGACAUAGAACACCUAUUGCGAAGGCAGCUUACUACGCAGAUAUUGACGCUCAUGCACGAAAGCGUGGGGAUCAAACAGGA
rnacentral:rRNA from 1 species